rnacentral:sRNA from 1 species
GUUUAAAGAAGAUCCGCCUCUGGGGUUUUAUAUUGCUCUGGUAUUCAUGCCAAAGACACACCAGCCCUCAGUCACUGGGAGAAGAACCUCUCAUACCCUCGGUGCUCCAGUCCCCAGCUCACUCGGCCACACACACCAUGUGUGAAGAGGAGACCACCGCGCUCGUGUGUGACAAUGGCUCUGGUCUGUGCAAGGCAGGCUUCGCAGGAGAUGAUGCCCCCCGGGCCGUCUUCCCCUCCAUCGUGGGCCGCCCUCGCCACCAGGGUGUGAUGGUGGGAAUGGGCCAGAAAGACAGCUAUGUGGGGGAUGAAGCUCAGAGUAAGCGAGGGAUCCUAACUCUCAAAUACCCCAUUGAACACGGCAUCAUCACCAACUGGGAUGACAUGGAGAAGGUAUCUGUAGACUUCCCCUUAAUGAGCCUGCUUUAAUGAUCACCCAUCGUCAUGACCCUCGUAUCCAUAGGACACUGUGCUCUGUCAACUCUCCCUCUAAAAUGCUUCUCACUUCUGUCUUUCCUUUCUUUUCAGCCCCACGACCAUUUCUCCAACCUAGGCUGCCAACAUCUCUCCCUGGACUAUUGCAAUGGCUUCCUGGCUGAUUUCUUGGUCUCUUGCCCUCAUUCACCGAAUUAAUUCUCU